rnacentral:rRNA from 1 species
UACGUAGGGUGCAAGCGUUGUCCGGAAUUAUUGGGCGUAAAGAGCUUGUAGGCGGUUUGUCGCGUCUGCUGUGAAAUUUCGGGGCUCAACCCCGAACUUGCAGUGGGUACGGGCAGACUAGAGUGUGGUAGGGGAGACGUGGAAUUCCUGGUGUAGCGGUGAAAUGCGCAGAUAGUCGGGAGGAACACCGGUGGCGAAGGCGAUUCUCUGGGCCUUACCUGACGCUGGAGGAG